UACGUAGGGUGCAAGCGUUGUCCGGAAUUAUUGGGCGUAAAGAGCUCGUAGGCGGUCUGUCACGUCGGCUGUGAAAUCCCGAGGCUCAACCUCGGGUCUGCAGUCGAUACGGGCAAACUAGAGUAUUGCAGGGGAGACUGGAAUUCCUGGUGUAGCGGUGAAAUGCGCAGAUAUCAGGAGGAACACCGGUGGCGAAGGCGGGUCUCUGGGCCGUUACUGACGCUGAGGAGCGAAAGCGUGGGGAGCGAACAGG
rnacentral:rRNA from 1 species